rnacentral:rRNA from 1 species
GCUUGUCUCAAAGAUUAAGCCAUGCAUGUCUAAGUAUAAACAAAUCUAUACUGUGAAACUGCGAAUGGCUCAUUAUAUCAGUUAUAGUUUAUUUGAUAGUCACACUACUUGGAUAACCGUAGUAAUUCUAGAGCUAAUACAUGCACAAAGUCCUGACCUCUGGAAAGGAUGUGUUUAUUAGAUACAACCAACCCUUCGGGUUCCUGGUGAGUCAUAAUAACCGAACGAACCGCAGGCUUCGGCGGCGGUGGUUCAUUCAAGUUUCUGCCCUAUCAGCUUUCGAUGGUAGGGUAUUGGCCUACCAUGGCGUUAACGGGUAACGGAGAAUUAGGGUUCGAUUCCGGAGAGGGAGCCUGAGAGAUGGCUACCACAUCCAAGGAAGGCAGCAGG